UACGGGGGGAGCAAGCGUUGUUCGGAUUUACUGGGCGUAAAGGGCGCGUAGGCGGUAGCACAAGUCAGUUGUGAAAUCUCCGGGCUUAACUCGGAAAGGUCAACUGAUACUGUGCGACUAGAGUGCAGAAGGGGCAACUGGAAUUCUCGGUGUAGCGGUGAAAUGCGUAGAUAUCGAGAGGAACACCUGCGGCGAAGGCGGGUUGCUGGGCUGACACUGACGCUGGAUGCGCGAAAGCCAGGGGAGCGAACGGGAUUAGAGUACCCGGUG
rnacentral:rRNA from 1 species